GACGAACGCUGGCGGCGUGCUUAACACAUGCAAGUCGAACGCUGAAGCUUGGUGCUUGCACUGGGUGGAUGAGUGGCGAACGGGUGAGUAAUACGUAAGUAACCUGCCCUUGACUCUGGGAUAAGCCUGGGAAACUGGGUCUAAUACUGGAUAUGACAUGCCACUGCAUGGUGGUGUGUGGAAAGGGUUUUACUGGUUUUGGAUGGGCUCACGGCCUAUCAGCUUGUUGGUGGGGUAAUGGCCUACCAAGGCGACGACGGGUAGCCGGCCUGAGAGGGUGACCGGCCACACUGGGACUGAGACACGGCCCAGACUCCUACGGGAGGCAGCAGUGGGGAAUAUUGCACAAUGGGCGGAAGCCUGAUGCAGCGACGCCGCGUGAGGGAUGACGGCCUUCGGGUUGUAAACCUCUUUCAGCACGGAAGAAGCGAGAGUGACGGUACGUGCAGAAGAAGCGCCGGCUAACUACGUG
rnacentral:rRNA from 1 species